rnacentral:rRNA from 1 species
ACCCGUUGAUCCUGCGGGAGGUUGCUGCUAUUGGGAUUCGACUAAGCCAUGCAAGUCAGAGGGUAGCAAUACCCAGGCAAAAUGCUCAGUAACACGUCGAUAAUCUGCCCUUAGGUCAAGGAUAACCUCGGGAAACUGAGGGAAAAACUUGAUAGGAGAUUUUUUCUGGAAGGAUUUAUCUCUUAAACUCGUGCCUAAGGAUGAGUUGGCGGCGGAUUAGGUUGUUGGUGGGGUAAAGGCCCACCAAGCCGAAGAUCCGUAGGGGCCCUGAGAGGGGUAGCCCCGAGAAGGGCACUGAGAUACUGGCCCUAGCCCUACGGGGUGCAGCAGGCGCGAAACCUUUACAAUGCACGGAAGUGUGAUAAGGGAAUCCCAAGUGCUUAUGCAAUGCAUAGGCUUUUGCCAAAAGUAAAUAUUUUGGCGAAUAAGUGGUGGGCAAGACUGGUGCCAGCAGCCGCGGUAACACCAGCGCCACGAGUGGUGAUCAUAUUAUUGGGUCUAAAGCGUCCGUAGCCGGUUUGGUAAAUCUUUUGUGAAAUUGUUAGGCUUAACUUAACAACGUGCAGGAGAAACUGCCAGACUAGGGACCGGGAGAGGUUAGGAGAAUGCUGUGGGGAGCGGUAAAAUGCUAUAAUCCUCAGUAGACUACCAGUGGCGAAGGCGCCUAACCAGAACGGGUCCGACGGUGAGGGACGAAAGCCAGGGGAGCAAUCCGGAUUAGAUACCCGAGUAGUCCUGGCUGUAAACGCUGCGAGCUAGGUGUUGCGUAUCCUCCGAGGAUACGCAGUGUCGAAGUGAAGAUGAUAAGCUCGCCACCUGGGGAGUACGGUCGCAAGACUGAAAUUUAAAGGAAUUGGCGGGGGAGCACCACAAGGGGUGCGGCGUGCGGUUUAAUCUAAUUCAACGCAGAGAAUCUCACCAGAAGCGACGGUAGGAUGAAAGUCAGAUUGAAGGUCUUACUUGACGAGCCGAGAGGUAGUGCAUGGCCGUCGUCAGCUCGUGCUGUAAGGUGUCCUGUUAAGUCAGGCAACGAGCGAGAUCUGUACCUACAAUUGCUAACGGGUUCUUUUGAACGACUGAGCACAUUGUAGGGACUGCCUUCGAAAGAAGGAGGAAGGUGCAGGCAACGGUAGGUCUGUAUGCUCCGAAUCUUCUGGGCGACACGCGCGCAACAAUGGUAAGGACAAUGGGAUACGACUCCGAAAGGAGAAGUUAAUCCUCGAAACCUUAUCUAAGUCUAGAUCGAGGACUGUAACCCGUCCUCGUGACACUGGAAUCCCUAGUAAUCGGGUUUCAUCAUAGCCCGGUGAAUAUGUCCCUGCUCCUUGCACACACCGCCCGUCAAGCCACCCGAGUAGGGUCUAGAUGAGGCUUUGUUUUUAAUGAAUUCGAAUCUAGGCUUUGUGAGGAGGGCUAAGUCGUCACAAGGUA